CCACAGGCUCUCCUCACCUCUCCUCUCCUCUCUUCUCUCCUCGGUUUAGGAACUUUCUCUUUAAGUAGUGAAUAUAUUAGUAUUCUUGUACAGAAACUGGAGUGGGAAACAGAGCGGGGUAGAGAGAGAAAGAGGGUUUUAUGGGUAUUUGUCUUCUUGCUGAAGUUGCAGGUUUUUGGAGUAUCGUGUCGGGGGUUGUCCCAUUUCCAUAUAGAAGUGUGAAUUUUUAGUUUUAGUGGGUUUGUUUCAAUUUUUUUUUUUUUUGGAAAUAAUUGAAUAUAAUUAUAUAAAAAUAUUCUUGUUUCCUUUUGUGUGAGAUAGAGAAUGCUAAGAGAUCUCUGGGGAUACUCCUUUUCUUGUGUAUGUUAUAUAUAUAGGUAGUUCAGUUCUUGUAUGUGUACAUAUUAUAUACAUACUCUGUAUUGAGUUAAUCAAGAGAGCUUGGGUUAGGAGAUCCCAAAUCAUCAAGAACUGUAAUGGAGGUCAACUUGAGCUUUUCACACGACAUGGAUGAUGAAUAUGAGAAACUCUUUAGAAGAUUGAAUCCUCCCAGGGUUGUAAUUGAUAAUGAAUCCUGCAAGAAUGCAACUGUUGUAAGAGUGGACAGUGCAAACAGACAUGGAACACUACUUGAAGUUGUACAAGUCCUUACUGAUCUUAACCUUAUGAUAACUAAAGCUUACAUAUCCUCUGAUGGUGGUUGGUUUAUGGAUGUUUUUAAUGUUAAGGAUCAAGAUGGAAACAAGAUUACUGAUGAAGCAAUUCUAGGUUAUAUUCGGAAGUCUCUGGGGCCAGAAUCAUGCUUUGUAUCUUCUAUGAGAUCUGUUGGGGUUAAACCAUCUAUGGACCACACUGCAAUUGAGCUAACAGGAAGUGACAGACCAGGCCUGCUAUCUGAAGUGUUUGCUGUACUCACCCACCUAAAAUGCAAUGUGGUCAAUGCAGAGGUCUGGACACACAAUACUCGGGCUGCAGCUGUGAUGCAAGUAACUGAGGAGGAAACUGGGUCUGCAAUUACUGACCCAGAGAGGCUAUCCAAGAUUAAGGAACUUCUCUGUAAUGUACUCAAGGGUAGUAACAAAUCCAAGAGAGCUAAGACUGGGGUGUCUCUUGGGGUCACCCACACUGAGAGAAGGCUUCACCAAAUGAUGUUUGCUGAUAGGGAUUAUGAACGUGCUGACGAUGAGGUCUUGAAUGAGAAGGAAAGGCCUAAUGUGAGUGUGGUUAAUUGGUAUGACAAGGACUACUCAGUGGUAACCAUAAGAAGCAAAGAUAGGCCAAAACUUCUUUUUGAUACUGUCUGCACGUUGACAGACAUGGAGUAUGUAGUUUUUCAUGCCAAUAUAGAUGCUGAGGGACCAGAGGCUUAUCAGGAAUAUUAUAUCAGACAUAUAGAUGGAUCCCCUGUGAAAUCGGAUGCUGAAAGACAGAGAGUGAUACAAUGUCUUGAAGCAGCUAUUGAGAGAAGAGUAUCUGAAGUGAGUGCUUAUCAUAUAUUUUUUUUGAACAAGUGAUUGUGUGCUUAGAGCGUCAUUUGGAUAAUAUCUUGUGGUUUAGAAUGUGAAAUUAUAAUAAAGAGGUGAUUUUUAUCUUUUACCAAGUAGUGAUGUUAAAACAAUGGUUUGCUUAAACUCUUCUGCUGAGAACUACGGCUAACUUAUGGUCCAAUUAUUUAUAAGAUUGUGUUUAGUUAGAUCUGAUUAUCUGUGUGGUAGAUGACAUUCCUGGAUUCUUUUGGUAAAAUGAAUUUUUCACUUGUGCAUAUGGGGUUCCAUUAGAUGAGGUUUUCAUAAUCAAUAAUACACUCACUAACAGCAGCAGAAAACAAAUGCUCAAGACAAAAGUUUAUGGAAUGUCUUUUGUUCUUUACCUGUUCCUUAAGUGUGUCCUUUAUGCAGAUGAUUAUUUUUUUUCCCCCUACUUUCUGAUUCAGGGUUUGAAGCUAGAACUAUGCACUACGGACAGAAUCGGGCUGCUAUCUGAUGUUACUCGCAUCUUUCGAGAAAAUAGCCUUACUGUCACCAGAGCAGAAGUGACAACUAGAGAUGGCAAAGCUAUCAAUACAUUUUAUGUUGGUGAUGCAUCAGGGUAUCCAGUUGAUGCAAAAACCAUAGAUUCCAUCAGGCAGGUAAUUGGCCAGACCAUACUUAAGGUAAAGGGCAGUCCUGAGGAGCUAAAACCAGUAUCUCAGGAAUCACCCACUAGGUUUCUCUUUGGUGGUCUCUUCAAGUCAAGAUCUUUUGUUAACUUUGGAUUGGUUAGGUCCUAUUCUUGAAAAGAUUUUAGCUCACUCAAAUUCUACUACAAAAACAAAUCUUAGUCCUUUUAGCAUAUGUGUGACUUAGAGUUCAGGAACAGAGCCAUUUGUCAAAUGAGGUAGAGAAUGCCAUAGAAGAAGUGCCUGUAUAUUCAGCAAGUUUCAUUUGUUACCAUUGGAUCCAAUCUAAUGUUGGAGCCAUGAAAGCAAUAGAAGUUACGUAUUGAACUUUUUCAGUUUCAACUUUGUACAUAACUAAUCUUAUGCUUCCAGCUAACCCUUUAACAUCCAUCUUUUUUCUUUUUUCAAUUUUAUUUUUACAUGGUUUUU
rnacentral:misc_RNA from 1 species